CCAGAUUUAGGCACACACUCUAAUAUUCAUUUGCAUUGCCUGGCAUGUUGAUGGCAUUAACAGAGGGCGUAAUCAAAAUAAACAUAGAAAAUAUAUAUACCACUAUCAAUGUAUUUAUUCAUUUGCAUCAGUUAAUGAAGCCAUGUUUAUCUAUUUAUUUUAAGAUUAGUUUAAAAAAAAUGUAAAAUAUAUUUUAGGAAGUAGUGCUUGGUUCUGCGUUCAAACUCUUAUUUUGAAAAGUCAAAAAUGGGGAGUAAUUUGGAUAUCUUAUCCACUCAAAGUACCUAUCAAAACAGCUUAAUAUUGGCACUGAGUAUAGUCUUCAAAGUAAAUAUAGAUACUGUAUUGCUAUAAUGUAACUACCUGAGUGGGACCCUUCAGAAUAAAAGUAUCCAACAUGAGGAAAGGAAAGACUAUAAAUGGCAGCUUCUGUUCGAUUGUUUUAUUUUAGAUUUCAGGAAUCUUUAAGCAUACGGCGGCUUCUCAGAAUACAUUUGAUGCCCUGCAGUCAGAAAGCGCAGCACUGGCUCUCAGUAACAGACUAAACAGAUCAGCCAGGGGAGCAGCAGAGAGUAAGCUUUAGUACAAGAGGCUCAUUUAUCUCACUGGAGGUAAGAGACUGAGCUACAGUUAUAAUAAAGCUCAGAUUGGAACAUGAGAGCGAGAAGGCUGCAGAAAGCGAAGGAAGAGCUAAAAGAUUCCCACAGAAAUGAUCAGUUCAUCAGUUAGUAGUAAACAUUCAAAGUAGUUGUGGCCCACAUGAUGCACCCUAAUGAUGCCGCUGUGAUAUCACCAAGGGAGCCUUAACUUGAGUUUAUGACUUGCACUUUUAUGAUGCAUCGGUGUCAUGAACCACAGUUGUGGUGUUAAAAGACAAAAACAUUUUACCUGACACAAAAGGCGUAAUGUAAGAUGCAACCUAGUUGCAUUAUGGGAAAUAUAGGAACCAGGAUUUGUGGGUGCUCCAAUGGCUCAUGCUAAAUACUUUCAAUGUUUUUUAAAAUAUCAAAAUGUAGUUAAAGUUUAUACUGCAGCCUAUUCAUUUAACCUUUUAUCGGACAGCACAUGGAUGCUCGAAGUCGAAGAAGUUUUUACAUGGUUAGGGCAGCACUGGGUGUAGAAGAACAAACUCACACAUGCAUUAAUACAAAUGCAGUCGUGUGAAAAACAGAGUUUCAUAGGAGUUUCUGCAUGCCUGUGGAAAAAAAAGUAGACUGCAUGAUUUAAUAGCUUGUAGCAUUUAGCAGCAAUAACACAAAGUUAUUGUUUGUUGACUUUAUUUCUCCAACUGGAAGAAUUGUGACUGACUCUUCUCUGCAAGGAUUCGUUCAUGCACAGCUCUCUUAAGGUCUCAUCAUAGCAUUUCUGCCAGGUUGAGGUCUGGACUUUGCUUUCUUUUCUUUUUCAGCCAUUCUGUUGUAGAUUUGCUGUUGCGUGACCUAAUUUUGCCCAAGCUUUAGCUGUGGGCCAGAUGUCCUCACAUUUGACCCUUUGGUAUACAGAGGAGUCAUGAUUUACUCAGUGGUCCUGUGGCUGCAAAACAAGCGCAAAUCAUCGCACUUGACAGCUGUAAUGGGAUGUUUGUGCUGAUAUGCUGUGUUUGGCUUUCUCCAGACGUGGUUCUGUGCAUUAUGGUCAAACACCUAAACUUUGAUCUCGCCUGUCCAAAGGACUUUGUUUUUGGUUUUCAGAAGAAACUUUGCAAGCCAAAGCCGUGCUGCCACGUUCUUUUUAGAGAGAAGACACUUUCUCCCUUUAACCCUUCCAAACCGUCCGUACUCGUUCAGUCUUUUUCUAAUUGUACUGUCAAUACUUUACAUGCCUCAGUUGGCAUAAAUGUUGGACUCUGAGAUGGACCUCUGCACUUUUUUUUUCUUUU